rnacentral:rRNA from 1 species
CACUCUAGCGAGACUGCCGGUAAUAAACCGGAGGAAGGUGGGGAUGACGUCAAAUCAUCAUGCCCUUAUGACCUGGGCUACACACGUGCUACAAUGGUUGGUACAACGAGUUGCGAGUCGGUGACGGCGAGCUAAUCUCUUAAAGCCAAUCUCAGUUCGGAUUGUAGGCUGCAACUCGCCUACAUGAAGUCGGAAUCGCUAGUAAUCGCGGAUCAGCACGCCGCGGUGAAUACGUUCCCGGGCCUU